UUAGCAUUCCUUUUUUGGCCAGGUCAU
rnacentral:piRNA from 1 species